GACGAACGCUGGCGGCGUGCUUAACACAUGCAAGUCGAACGGUGAAGCUCCAGCUUGCUGGAGUGGAUCAGUGGCGAACGGGUGAGUAACACGUGAGCAACCUGCCCCUGACUCUGGAAUAAGCGCUGGAAACGGCGUCUAAUACUGGAUACGAGAAGGGUCCGCAUGGGCACUUUCUGGAAAGUUUUUCGGUUGGUGAUGGGCUCGCGGCCUAUCAGCUUGUUGGUGAGGUAAUGGCUCACCAAGGCGACGACGGGUAGCCGGCCUGAGAGGGCGACCGGCCACACUGGGACUGAGACACGGCCCAGACUCCUACGGGAGGCAGCAGUGGGGAAUAUUGCACAAUGGGCGAAAGCCUGAUGCAGCGACGCCGCGUGAGGGAUGACGGCCUUCGGGUUGUAAACCUCUUUCAGCAGGGAAGAAGCGAAAGUGACGGUACCUGCAGAAGAAGCACCGGCUAACUACGUG
rnacentral:rRNA from 1 species